GACGAACGCUGGCGGCGUGCCUAAUACAUGCAAGUAGAACGCAGUUGCGCACGGGUGAGUAACGCGUAGGUAACUGCCGCAUAGGGGGGGGAAACUAACGGAAACGAUAGCUAAUACCGCAUACUGUGAGAGGGACCUGAGUGGUAUUAGGAAGUUGGUGAGGUAAAGGCUCACCAAGGCGACGAUACAUAGCCGACCUGUGAGGGUGAUCGGCCACACGGGGACUGAGACACGGCCCAGACUCCUACGGGAGGCAUGAGUAGGGAAUCUGCGGCAAUUGACGGAAGUCUUACCGAGCAACGCCGGGGGAGUGAAGAAGGUUUUCUGAUCUUAAAGCUCUGUUUUUAGAGAAGCGGUAACUAACGAGAAAGGGACGGCUAACUACGUGCCAGCAGCCGCGGUAAUAC
rnacentral:rRNA from 1 species